GUAGUCCACGCCGUAAACGAUGAUUACUAGGUGUGGGGGGCUAACCCUUCCGUGCCGGAGUUAACACAAUAAGUAAUCCACCUGGGGAGUACGACCGCAAGGUUGAAACUCAAAGGAAUUGACGGGGGCCCGCACAAGCAGUGGAGUAUGUGGUUUAAUUCGAAGCAACGCGAAGAACCUUACCAGGUCUUGACAUCGAGUGACGAUCCUAGAGAUAGGAUUUCCAUUCGGGGCACGAAGACAGGUGGUGCAUGGUUGUCGUCAGCUCGUGUCGUGAGAUGUUGGGUUAAGUCCCGCAACGAGCGCAACCCUUACUAUUAGUUGCUACGCAAGAGCACUCUAAUAGGACUGCCGUUGACAAAACGGA
rnacentral:rRNA from 1 species